UACAGAGGGUGCAAGCGUUAAUCGGAAUUACUGGGCGUAAAGGGCGCGUAGGCGGCCUGCUAAGUCGGACGUGAAAUCCCUCGGCUCAACCGAGGAACUGCGUCCGAUACUGGUGGGCUUGAAUCCGGGAGAGGGAUGUGGAAUUCCAGGUGUAGCGGUGAAAUGCGUAGAUAUCUGGAGGAACACCGGUGGCGAAGGCGGCAUCCUGGACCGUUAUUGACGCUGAGGCGCGAAAGCUAGGGGAGCAAACGGG
rnacentral:rRNA from 1 species